GGGUGCUCAUUUAUCACCUUUCAAGAAUGUCUUGGCAUGUUACCGGCUAAAGGAUGUCUUCAUCGUCUCCCGUCACCCUGGGAGGGAGGGGAGACCAGGCCAUGUCACACCUGGAGCCGGACGUGAGUCGGAUUGUCCCCCUCCCAUCAAGGAUAUGGUCAAACAAAGGAACUAUUCCAGUCUCCUUCGUAGAAAUGCAAGAACAAUGACUUUUCUAAACCGGUAAACAGAUUCCAGAAGCACCCCUGCUGGUUUUUAACACAAGCGCAUUCCACACCAACGGUACGUCUACUUUAAACCGGCUUUGUCCUUUAAACAAGGACAGAAAACACACCUUAUAUUUUGGUUUCUGUCAUUUAAAGUCAAGCCUAAGCUUGUCUAUCACCAAAGCUUUUUUCCAGGGUACAAACCACGGAGCAACAACAAUUAUUUGGAUAUCAUAUUUUGUCUGCAUCAACUUCUUCCCAUAUAGAAUUCCUGCUGAAUGUUUUUUUUGUGUUUGUCUAUAUUCGUGUUCGCUCUCAUCCUCGUCUCCUCGACUCCUCUGUUUGUUUUUCUGGAAGGAACACGCAGCAGGAUAUUAAAGUAUAAAGAGCUCCUGAAGAAAAAACAACACGUGUACUGUCAACAGAGCAGGCAAGCAAAAGGGAUUCCUGCAGAUCAUAGCAAGCCUUGAAAGAGGUAAAACAUGUGUUGCAUUAAUACAAACAGCAAUUAUUAAAUCAUGAGACAAUUUGUAAGCUCUUACAGUUAUCUGUGUUUAAAGAGAAAGCCACAAGGAAAGGGGGAAAGACGGAUACUCAACAGACAUCCUGAGUUCUUUUUUUCUUCUUCCCAGAAGUGAGUAAUCCCAAAUCCAGACAAAACCAGCAACAGCUCGGGUCUUUUCUUUGGUGAAGAGGGUUUUCGUUUGUCUAGGGUUGGCAGUGAUGACUGCAGUGUUUUGUCUGGUGCCGAUGGCCGCCGCCACGCCCGGCACAGAAAACAGAUUAAGAGGACGCCGCAGCCGGCGAGAAGAAGGAAGGCAGGACGGAGUUUCCUGUGAUCAUCGCACUAGCAGCUGGACACCAGGGUUUCUAGUAGAACUGCAUCCAUCGCUCUCAUCUGGAGGAACGUAACUACUGACCCCGCAGAUGAGGAGGAUUUACAUGAGCUCCAACAAGUGCGCCAGCAUAGGGUACCCUAGAACGGACUGUUAACGCCCGGGUAUUGUUGUGGGUUUUACCCUUGAAGUAUUGUUUUGUGUUGGAAUAAAUGUUAGUGUGUGUUAAUCCCCUGUGUCUUGCUGGAAUUCCAGUGUUAGCAACCUGCUAUAUUUAUAAAGUACACAAGGGGUUUAACAAGGGAUAUAUAUAUUUAUAUAAAUGCAUGGGAGUUGAGCCCACACCAACAGUAUAGUGAGAAUUUGAGUAGACCCUUUUUCAGUGCACCUCCCAUGCAACAGGGGUAGGGUAUGAGGCCCCUGACUAGAACAGCAACUGAGAGGGGGGGCUACAUAGGAAACCAAUUGGUUGAAGGGGCUGUCCUUUGCUCCACUGGGUCUAAUAGCCUCAGCAACUACUUUCAUCCAGGUGUGUGAAAUACUGAAUUACAUAAAUUCCACAUGAAAUCAAAGGUCACACCGUUGGGGGGCGAAAACCACCCAUGUUUUGACAAGCACGGUGUAUUCCAUAACUUUUUCACUUGAUUUCCUUCGCAUAAUGGUACAAAAUAGUGGGCCGACCAUCAGCUAAGAAUGGUUGCAUCUAACUACCAUCUCCUCUGAGCUGACAGGGAUCUUAAAAUGACUCUUGAUGGGCUUAAACUGCAUAUUUUUGAAAAUAUUUUCAAAUAUAAAAGGGAUAAAUGUCAGUUUUUGCAAACGUCCAACUAAAAUGUUUGAUGAGCUAUGUCCUUUGUCACAGGUUUUGGCAGGCAGCAACGCCACCUAGGACUUAACUCAAAGGUUCUGGCCCAUUAUCAAGAAUGUUGGUCUUUCAUGAUUGUGAUAGUCAUCCCCCACCGUGUUCCCCUCCCAGCUAAUCUCUGUUCCUUCAAGAGGCAGAAUACAGUUUGUUCCCGUACCAUUCACAAUUCUUUGAAGUUGUUAUUAUGUUGGAUUGAUUCAAUCUGAAUGUACAAAAUGAGUUAAAUAAAACAACUUUAUAAACAUACUCUACUCUACGUAAAUUGAACUCACUAAUGUACUCAACAGUGUGUUGGUAGUUCCGUUAGCUGUUAGCUAAAAACAAAUAUAAGUGAGCUGAAACUGUUUCCCCCCACUGUGGGCUCAGCUGAGUGUCUUAAGGUCGGCGAUGUACUCAGCUGUAAGUGAGGAGUGAGCAGACAGUCAAUGGAAAACAUGCAAAAAAAGUUGUGUUUUGAGAGGUCCUUGAGCAUGCAGCCAUAACUGGGCAACCACAAAUAGGAUUAAGUU